rnacentral:tRNA from 1 species
GCGAAAUUGCUCAGUUGGGAGAGCGUUAGACUAUAAACCGAAAGGUCCCUGGUUCGAUCCCGGGAUUCGGCA